rnacentral:misc_RNA from 1 species
AAAGUCGUAACAAGGUUUCCGUAGGUGAACCUGCGGAAGGAUCAUUAAAAAGAUUGGCGAGUAGUUACUCUACUUACCUUCUGAUAUCACCUCUUGUAUCUGUAGGUUUCUGCCUGCAGGUAUUCAAUGUGUUCAACCCUUUGUGAACUUUCCAUACUUUGCUUCGGCAGCACCUUGCUGGGAGACCUGCUUGGGUAAGGCUGUCAGAGGCCCAUAUAAAAACCAGUUUUUAAAAACCUGCAGUCUGAAUACUAUUGAUUUUAGAAAUCAAAAUCGCAUUAAAACUUUCAGCAACGGAUCUCUUGGUUCUC